GAUGAACGCUGGCGGCGUGCCUAAUACAUGCAAGUCGAGCGAACAGAUGAGGAGCUUGCUCCUCUGACGUGAGCGGCGGACGGGUGAAUAACGCGUGGAUAACCUACCUGUAAGACUGGGAUAACUUCGGGAAACCGGAGCUAAUACCGGAUAAGAUAUUGAACCACAGGGUUCAAUAGUGAAAGACGGUUUUGCGGUCACGUAUAGAUGGAUCCGCGCCGCAUUAGCUAGUUGUUAAGUUAACGGCUUACCAAGGCAACGAUGCGUAGCCGACCUGAGAGGGUGAUAGGCCACCUUGGAACUGAGACACGGUCCAGACGACUACGGGACGCAGCAGUAGGGAACCUUACGCAAUGGUCGAAAGUAUUACGGAGCAACCCCGCGCGAGUGAUGAAGGUCUCCGGAUCGUAAAACUCUGUUACUAGGGAAGAACCACUGUGUAAGUAAACAUGCACGUCUUGACGGUAACUAAUCAGAAAGCAACGGCUAACUACGUG
rnacentral:rRNA from 1 species